AGGCUUGUUUAGUGUUCUACACUGUUUAAAAGGCAUUCAAGUGUUGAGAGCAUAAGNNNNNNNNNNNNNNNNNNNNCUGUAUAUCAGAUCUGCUCAGUGCCGACCCUCCGUCACACCUUUGUUUCCCAGUAAUUCUGCCUGGCAUUGCUGUGGCUAUCUGGUUCGGAUUGGCUUUCCGCUGCCUUUCGCCGGAUAACGACGGGUUGUCCGGCGAUUGACGCACGGUUGUGCGCCAGUCAUCCGUCGCCCCCUCCGCCCCGGCGGAUUCCGGCCACCACGGCUGGAACACGUAUUGGGCGGGGACGGGCGGCGGGGCCGGUGUUGAAGCCGACGACAGUUGCCCGAGUCAGCCACUUUCAAAAUUUCUUGGUUAAGUAACUUUGUAGCUUAGCUUCGGAUUUUCGUAAUAUAUUUGCUGUUCAGAACACUUCCAUUCACGCGGCAUUGCCGAGCAAUUUGCCCAUUCUUUUG
rnacentral:snRNA from 1 species